AUGGCUGCCGGCAGGGGCAUUAACCAGCUUCUGAGGAAAACUCUUCAGAGCCAGUCUUCUGGCUCAUCUCUGCUUUCUUCAUUUCGGGGAAAGCAUGAAGAGUCCUCUGCUGGACUGAGAGCAUUGGCUCUUCUUGGAGUUGGUGCUUCUGGUCUUUUAAGUUUUGGUACGAUAGCAUCUGCAGAUGAAGCUGAGCACGGUUUGGCGGCUGCAGAGUACCCCUGGCCGCAUGCUGGCAUCCUUAGCUCAUAUGAUCAUGCAUCAAUCCGCCGUGGACAUCAAGUUUACCAGCAAGUGUGUGCAUCUUGUCACUCCAUGUCAUUGAUUUCAUACCGUGAUUUGGUUGGGGUGGCCUAUACUGAGGAGGAAACUAAGGCAAUGGCUGCUGAAAUUGAAGUGGUUGAUGGUCCUAAUGAUGAGGGUGAAAUGUUCACACGUCCUGGCAAGCUGAGUGAUCGCUUCCCGCAGCCUUAUCCAAAUGAACAAGCAGCCCGAUUUGCAAAUGGUGGGGCAUAUCCCCCAGAUCUCAGCCUUAUCACGAAGGCAAGGCACGAUGGCCAGAACUACGUGUUUGCUCUUCUUACUGGUUACCAUGACCCACCUGCUGGUGUUCAGAUUCGUGAGGGUCUGCAUUACAAUCCCUACUUCCCUGGUGGUGCCAUAGCCAUGCCUAAGAUGCUUAUGGAUGGAGCUAUUGAGUAUGAAGAUGGUACUCCUGCAACUGAAGCUCAGAUGGGCAAGGAUGUUGUGUCAUUCUUGUCGUGGGCUGCUGAGCCUGAAAUGGAAGAGAGGAAACUGAUGGGUGUCAAAUGGAUCUUCCUACUGUCACUUGCUCUUCUCCAAGCCGCAUACUACCGUCGCAUGAGGUGGUCCGUCCUCAAGUCCCGCAAGCUGGUCCUGGACGUCGUCAACUGA
rnacentral:rRNA from 1 species